ACCAGCCGCCGCUCACCCCUUCUCUCACAAUGAGUGUUUGAGAUUCCUUAUUUUGCACUAACUUUUAACUUAUUAACUUGUUAAAAGUUAAUAAAUUGAAGAAAAGUGCUUGGCAAAUGGAGAAAAAAAUUUUAAAAUGACUUUUACUUUCCCCUUUCCACUUGAUAAAGUAAAGAGGGUUUCACAAAUUCUUACUUCUCAAAAAAUCCUUUAAAUGACAAAUUCCCCAUUAACCCCUCCACACUAACCUUCUUCAUCUGGAUUCUGGCGCCAACAUCCUCCUCAUUCAUCCCUCCAACUACCCAACAAUUAAGUCACCUGUAUGUAUGUAUGUACGUAUCUUUCUUUCAACCGAUCAAAUCAAACUACUCCAUCUCUCUUCUCAUUAAUCUUCAAUUACUCCCCCAUCUACCACCUUUACAUCUAUCUGCCCUAUAUCAUCUACCAGCAUCAGCAGCUUCAAGUAACAUCAGCGUCUCUCCCUGUUAUCAUUAAGGUUAACAUCAGCUUCAAGUAACACCGGCGGCGCUGUUGCACCGGCGGCGCUGUUGCUCCGGCGGCCUUUCUUCUUCCACAAUCCAACAGCAGGUCGCAUUUACAAAGUGGAAAUUGAAUACAUAUUUCAAAAGAAAGGAAACUUGUAAGCCAUGGCAUUCGAUUUCUAUAUACUUCAUUUGCUUUCAUUUCUAGCACUACGACGUUUCUCUAAGCUUUAAUCAAUGAGAACACUAUCAGAGUUCACUUGUCUGAGUUGCCACAGAGUGGACGCCCCUGUUACUACGCCAUGUGCACUUAAUUUCUGCAUCUCAUGUUUGCCGUAUCAAUCUUCUAAUUCUGAAGCUAGAGUGUUAAGGUCACGAAAGAAUUCUAUGAAAUGUCCCUCAUGUACACUACGGAAAUUUAUGAUUUUUUGUUUAAGCCAUAGGAGAAUACAGAACUAAGGACGCUUAUUGAUUCAUCUCAGAGACAACAAAAAAAUGUUGUUUCUGAAGAUUAUGGCGCAAUAACAUUCAAGACGAGAAAUCCUGAUCAUCACACAAGGAACAUGGUAGGAACAAAGGACUGGCCAUUUUCGUUAUGUGGAAGCAGAUAUUUAUGUUCGUUCAAUUAGGAUACCUAGUACCCUCAGUACCUUUAAAGAAUUUUGUAAUAGUAUCUUCACUAGGAUUAGCCUUAAUGUCAACAAUGAUCAAAGACAUUUCACCUACGCAUCUUAUGUAAGGAACGAAAGCCGAAGGCGCAGAACGGUUAAUUUUCAGAUCUCUGACGAUCCUACUUUUCGUACGUAUUGGAGGACUGUGGGUGCCAACGCACCGGGAUAUGCGAAUCGUCUCUAUUUUGAACUAGUCAAUCCGUAGUUUUUUAUGUGAUAUGUGCCAGAUUCUCCACAUUAUCUCUAUGUAUUUCCUGUUUAUGUUUUUUGAAUUCAAUUUAUUUAAGAAUGUUGAUGUUUAUAUUUUUGACA